UACGUAGGGAGCAAGCGUUGUUCGGAUUUACUGGGCGUAAAGGGCGCGUAGGCGGCAGAUCAAGUCAGUUGUGAAAUCUCUGAGCUUAACUCAGAACUGUCAACUGAUACUGCUCUGCUAGAGUGCGGAAGGGGCAAUCGGAAUUCUUGGUGUAGCGGUGAAAUGCGUAGAUAUCAAGAGGAACACCUGAGGUGAAGACGGGUUGCUGGGCCGACACUGACGCCGAGUGCGCGAAAGCCAGGGGAGCAAACGGG
rnacentral:rRNA from 1 species